UGGGGAAUAUUGCACAAUGGGCGAAAGCCUGAUGCAGCGACGCCGCGUGAGGGAUGACGGCCUUCGGGUUGUAAACCUCUUUCAGUAGGGACGAAGCGCAAGUGACGGUACCUGCAGAAGAAGCACCGGCUAACUACGUGCCAGCAGCCGCGGUAAUACGUAGGGUGCGAGCGUUGUCCGGAAUUACUGGGCGUAAAGAGCUCGUAGGCGGUUUGUCACGUCGUCUGUGAAAUCCUAGGGCUUAACCCUGGACGUGCAGGCGAUACGGGCUGACUUGAGUACUACAGGGGAGACUGGAAUUUCUGGUGUAGCGGUGGAAUGCACAGAUAUCAGGAAGAACACCGAUGGCGAAGGCAGGUCUCUGGGUAGUAACUGACGCUGAGAAGCGAAAGCAUGGGUAGCGAACAGG
rnacentral:rRNA from 1 species